rnacentral:rRNA from 1 species
GAUGAACGCUAGCGGCAGGCCUAACACAUGCAAGUCGAGGGGUAACAGGAAGUGCUUGCACUUCGCUGACGACCGGCGCACGGGUGAGUACCGCGUAUACAAUCUGCCUCAUACUAGGGGAUAGCCCGAAGAAAUUUGGAUUAAUACCCUAUAGUAUCUUUUUAAGGCAUCUUAUUAAGAUUAAAGGUUACGGUAUGAGAUGAGUAUGCGUUCUAUUAGCUAGUAGGUGUGGUAACGGCACACCUAGGCUACGAUAGAUAGGGGCCCUGAGAGGGGGAUCCCCCACACUGGUACUGAGACACGGACCAGACUCCUACGGGAGGCAGCAGUGAGGAAUAUUGGACAAUGGGCGAAAGCCUGAUCCAGCCAUGCCGCGUGCAGGAUGACUGCCCUAUGGGUU